CGCGGUAUUUUGACCGUGCGAAGGUAGCAUAAUCAUUAGUCUUUUAAUUGAAGGCUUGCAUGAAAGGUUGGACGAGAAAUAAGCUGUCUUUAUUGAAAAAAUAGAAUUUAACUUUUAAGUGAGAGGGCUUAGAUAUUCUAAGGGGACGAUAAGACCCUAUAAAGUUUGACAUUUAUAGUUUUUAAGAAAUAAAAUAAGUAAUUAAUUUUUAUUAGCGGGAUAGUGUUUUGUUGGGGCGAUUGGGAUAUAAAAAAUUUAACUGUUUUAUAUUAAUACAAAGAUAUUUGAGAUUUUUGAUCCUUAUUAGAGAUAUUAGAGUAAAUUACUUUAGGGAUAACAGCGUAAUUUUUUUUGAGAGUUCUUAUCUAUAAAAAAGUUUGCGACCUCGAUGUUGAAUUAGAGAAUUCUUUAUAGUGCAGAAGUUAUAAGAGAAGGUCUGUUCGA
rnacentral:rRNA from 1 species